ACUCUAGCAUCCAAUCGUCUACGUAUUCGUAGAAAAAGUAAAUGUUGUGGAAUUUAACGCUUUAUUGCAUCACAUCCGACUAAAAAAAUGACCAGGGAAACAGAAGGCUGACAGACAUAUUCAUAGAAAAUAUGAAAAAGCCCUGCCUGUUGCCGUGUUGGAACUUGUAUUGACCUGUAUGAGCAUCAUACUGUGCAACUCUCCUAAAGAUGGAGUUGACCAAGUUGCUGACUUUGAGGAGAACUUGAAGAGCAGAAGAUGCAUUCCAUGACUCUUAUGUGAUAUAGAAGACAAAGAAGAGCUCUUGAGAAUGGGGAAAAAAACUGCGAGUUUUACAGUCAAUGAACACACCUCACGACACAAGUCCAUCCUGAUUCAGUAAACUAUUCUUCUAAGGAAACACCAUGACUUAGUUAAGAUCAAGUUUUGGUGUCAGAAGA